ACCAUCGAGUCUUUGAACGCAAGUUGCGCCCGGAGCCUUCGUGCUGAGGGCACGCCAGCCUGGGCGUCACGC
rnacentral:rRNA from 1 species